rnacentral:misc_RNA from 1 species
AACAUAUUUAAUCAAAGACGAAACAGUUUUUGACUUGGAAUGUUUUGUCCGGCAGGGCAGAAUAUGUAGCCGAGCUACUCCACAUAGCUCAUGAUUUUGCCUAAAAGAUUCAGCACUGAAAUUUGAAAAACAUCCACCUGAUGGAAUUUCUCCUUCCAAUUCAUUCACAGAGACAUUGAAGUAUCGGAGAUACCUCAAUGCCUCGAGAGACUUUGGAAUCAUUCCGGACAAAUUGUUGGACGACAAAUCUAAUGUCUCUAAGCUUAUCAAGUUACUCA